CUCACCUUAACUUAGCCCAAAGUCAGAAUUCAGAAGAACAAUUCCCAAACAAAGCCACAACCUCCAGGCAAGUCAACCAGAACCAACUUCACCAAAUCUGUUGAACCUCUGCAACCUCAUAGAAACCCACUCAUAGCACUUCGAUUAAUAGUCUUACACCAACAACCAAAUCUUCAAAUACAUUAAAUUAAUAUAAAACCCAUCUGACGUAAAUCAUCAAACAUGUACUCUUUCAUUUUAAACCCAAGUUUACUUAACAUUCUAACCAUAGUAAAUCCCUUAGAUAUACUAUGGACACCCGUUUUCGACAAACAACUUUCCCAAAUCUGUACAUAAAAGUAUAAAACUCCAACAUCCAAUUCAAUACAUAAGCACAUUCCAACAAUUCAACCUAUUCUCCAUAAUUACCAAAUUCUAAUCCCCCUUACCGUAUGAAAAAUUGUGUGAGACCAUCUCUAAAACCAUUCUCUACACCCAAAGAGUAGCUCGGCAGCAACCAAGUCUCUCACUGCUGCUCUUCUCUGCUUCCUUUCACCUCUAAAAUGCAGCAGCUAAUCCGACCUCCCUUACUGACAUUCUUUCAUCCUUUCAACAACACAACAACCCACACAUCAAUCUCAAUAAUCACAGCCUUAAAAUUGCAGAAAACUUAGAACCUCAAGGAAAGCAAGAACACCGAAAUUAGAGUAAUACAAUUACUGUUCUCACUCCCAGCAACACUAACACAGUAACCUGAUAUGAACAACAAACCCAAAAUCAUCACCUCUGCCCAAUACCUCACUUCUUCAAACCUUAACCAAUUUCAAUUUCAAUCAUAUAAAGACGUAGAGCUUGACAAAUAGAUUAAUUUCGAUACCUGAAUCGAAACUAAAGCUCGCCGGAAUCCGUCGAGGCGGAAAACUCAAUACCUUCAUCUCUUCGAUUCUCCCUCCUCAGAGCUCGUUUGGGAAAACCAAGAACAUGGAAAGGUUCCUGAGAUUGAGAUGAAGCUAUCCAUACUAGUGAGAGACCUCGACUUGGCUGGAAUCGGAAACUCGCCGGCGAACCCAGCCUCUCCUUCUCCAUUUCGAAUCUCUCUCUCCCGACCUCUUCUGAAGAAACUGAGGACAUGGACAUGACCACGAGGACGAGAGGAAGCUGCCGCUACCAUUCUUUCUCCUCGCCGUCGCCGGAAUCGGAAGUUGGUUGGCGAACCCAGAAAUCGUUCUCUCCUUCUUUUCUCUCUCGCCGGAGCUCCUCUUCGAAAACGAAGAACAUCUUGAGGACGGUGACGACAAGACGGAGGCGUGGACACCAGCCUUGCGCCAGGAGGUGGCCGAACGACGGAGGAGCAAUCGGCGUCGUUGCAGAGCAAUCGAGACCAAGGUCGGUCUGGGCUUGAGCUGAUCCACUUCGACCACUAUAUAGAUCAAAUCCAACGGCCCAGAUUUCACUGACUUUAAUUUUCUAUAUAAUUAUCUGAAUUUCCAAAACUUCAGAAAUUUAUAGAACAUAUCUCAAGACUCCGAAAAUUUCCACGUACUCGUCGUGACACGUACUAUAAUAUCCAACUCUUAAAUCAUGGACUUGAACUGAUACAAAUUGCUCAAAUCUCCUCAAGCGCAUUUCAAUACUAUUGAGGUCGAUAAACUAUUUACCAAACGACCUCUAAUUAAGCUGGUCAAAUUUUUCGGGUGUCACAAUAAUGUUGGUACUUUGAUUGAUAUAAGUG
rnacentral:lncRNA from 1 species